GGAUCUGUGGCGCAAUGGUGGCGUAUCUGAAUCCGGAUCAGAAGGUUGUGUGUUCGAUUCAUGUCGGGUUCA
rfam:Picea glauca, whole genome shotgun sequence.